ensembl:lncRNA
CCCCAGACUCCCUGCUUUUUUGCCUUUAGGUCAACAACCUCUAAGGUGGAGAAAAUACUGUAAUUUGCAUUGAACUGUAUAUAGCUCUGAUUACUUAGCUCACAUUGUAAGUUGUAGAGAGUUGGCUGGUGAACAAGACUUUUCGAUUUGAGAAGGGUGACAUCCCUCGCCGCUUUUGCCCGUUCUUUGCUCGGGCCACAGACCGGUACAAAGCGCUCAGAUUAGUUCAACUCUCUUAAAUGGUUAGGGUGUCAUAAUUCAAACUCCCUUCGCCCUCCCUUUGAAGACAGAAGUCAGCUGAUGAAAAAUGUUCAGAGAAAUUUCUGUCGGUGCGAAACUACCUACUGUGAUUAUAGGGUUUCCUGGUGCGCUUGCCACAGACCUGCUGUAAUGAAACGAGCGUCUUUUGCUCCAAUCUGACAACAUCCGCGGGCAGAAAUGUGGAGUGAGGUGAAAAACCACACCAAAAUAGUUUUUCGCGGGGGAAACACAUCAGAGGUAAGACAGAAAACAAAAUAGGGGGCUGUUCCAAUACACCCAUGGGUCCACUCUACAAAACAACACAGCAAUGGGUCUCAAAGCUCAACGGCCAACCCUCCUCCUUCACACAUGGACCCCUUGGCCAGAGGCAGUGGAAUCAUCCCAGAACCUGGCAUUUUAAAAGGGGUGCCAUUGCAGCCGCGGUGUUCAUUGGGUUCAUACUGGCUCUCUACACAGUCCUGUGGAAGUGCAUGGUCUCACCACCUCAAAGACUGAGGAAGAGAGUGAGGGUUUGAGAGUAGAGGAGUCAAGCCAAGGCUUAACCCUUAAGAUCUCAUCUGCGAUAUCUGUCCAGAGGAUUUCUAUUCAAACUCAAGCACAUCUAAACCUCUCGUGUCAAAUGGAACCUGAAGAAUGUACACACAUUGACCUCCCAUCAAUAUGUUCCUGGCUGUCAGAGAGGGAUGGCAGAUCCUGUGAUCAAAGCUUGAUGGAAUGGACUCUAAAAAUCCUCUUUUAAUAAAGCAUCCUGUCAGUGAUUCUCCAUGAUCCAUGGAAGUCACUGUAUGACACUGUACUUUGGGAGACUUGAUCCUGAUAUGAACAGAGGCGUAGCCACACUGUUAAGCAUACACCUAUGUGCAGGUCACAGUUUUUCUGUCUAUGCUGGGAGCUUCGUACUACUGAAGGAAGAGGCAUCAUCAUCAUUGGUCAAAAAGCCUGCUGGCAACCAUAUGGAGUCUCAGGAAACAUUCCUUAUACAUCCCCAGAACAAUAAUGGAAAGGGGAACUUUAUUCAAUAUUCCCUUUUCAGUCAAGCAACUGAUUUUAUUUGUUUAGAUUUUGCUGUGCAAGAAUACCUUGUUUCUAAUCAUUUGGAUGUGUUUUUCUGAACUGGGUGAAGGUGUGUUGAACUGAGCAUCAGGGUUGAUUCAAAAAACAAACAAACAAGGAAAUGUGAUAUGAAAUGUUUUUAGAUUCCAUGCCACAUUAACUGAAUAUUGUACUAUAUUUUAGUGUAUAUUAGGUAUGUUUUAAUAUUUGUAUGUUAAUGUGUUAACAUUUUUGAGUAAAAUUCUAAGAUUUGCAUUCAAGGCCAAUUGUCUGCUAAAAAUACUGACUGUAUUAUAUGUUGCUUAUGGUCA